GACGUAGGAUGCAAGCGUUGUCCGGAAUUAUUGGGCGUAAAGAGUUCGUAGGCGGUUAUCUAAGUCUGGUGUUAAAGACGGGAGCUCAACUCCCGCAUGGCAUUGGAAACUGGGUGACUAGAGUGUGGUAGAGGUCUCGGGAAUUCCAGGUGUAGCGGUGAAAUGCGUAGAUAUCUGGAGGAACACCGGUGGCGAAGGCGGUUCUCUGGGCCUGUACUGACGCUGAGGAACGAAAGCGUGGGGAGCGAACAGG
rnacentral:rRNA from 1 species